rnacentral:rRNA from 1 species
GUGAGGAAUUUUCGUCAAUGGGGGCAACCCUGAACGAGCAACGCCGCGUGCAGGAGGACGCUUUUCGGAGUGUAAACUGCUUUUCUUGGGGACGAGAUCUGGACGGUACCCAAGGAACAAGCCCCGGCUAACUACGUGCCAGCAGCCGCGGUAAUACGUAGGGGGCGAGCGUUGUCCGGAGUUACUGGGCGUAAAGCGCACGCAGGCGGUUUCGUACGUCUGGAGUGACAGUUCCCGGCUCAACUGGGAAAGGUCUUUGGAAACGGCGAGACUUGAGGGCUUCAGAGGGACACGGAAUUCCGGGUGGAGUGGUGAAAUGCGUAGAGAUCCGGAGGAACACCAAUGGCGAAGGCAGUGUCCUGGGAAGCAUCUGACGCUCAGGUGCGAAAGCUAGGGGAGCGAACAGGAUUAGAUACCCGGGUAGUCC